GCUAACUCCGUGCCAGCAGCCGCGGUAAUACGGAGGAUCCAAGCGUUAUCCGGAAUCAUUGGGUUUAAAGGGUCCGUAGGCGGACUAUUAAGUCAGGGGUGAAAGUCUGCAGCUCAACUGUAGAAUUGCCUUUGAUACUGGUAGUCUUGAGUUAUGGUGAAGUGGCUAGAAUAUGUAGUGUAGCGGUGAAAUGCAUAGAUAUUACAUAGAAUACCGAUUGCGAAGGCAGGUCACUAACCAUAUACUGACGCUGAUGGACGAAAGCGUGGGGAGCGAACAGGAUUAGAUACCCUGGUAGUCCACGCCGUAAACGAUGGAUACUAGCUGUUCGGACUUCGGUCUGAGCGGCCAAGCGAAAGUGAUAAGUAUCCCACCUGGGGAGUACGUUCGCAAGAAUGAAACUCA
rnacentral:rRNA from 1 species